CUACGGGUCGCUCCAGUGAGGAAUAUUGGACAAUGGUCGAAAGACUGAUCCAGCCAUGCCGCGUGCAGGAUGACUGCCCUAUGGGUUGUAAACUGCUUUUAUACGGGAAGAAAAACACCUACGUGUAGGUGACUGACGGUACCGUAAGAAUAAGGACCGGCUAACUCCGUGCCAGCAGCCGCGGUAAUACGGAGGGUCCAAGCGUUAUCCGGAAUCAUUGGGUUUAAAGGGUCCGUAGGCGGGCUAUUAAGCCAGAGGUGAAAGUUUGCAGCUCAACUGUAAAAUUGCCUUUGAUACUGAUAGUCUUGAAUUGUAGUGAAGUGGUUAGAAUAUGUGGUGUAGCGGUGAAAUGCAUAGAUAUCACAUAGAAUACCGAUUGCGAAGGCAGAUCACUAACUAUAUAUUGACGCUGAGGGACGAAAGCGUGGGGAGCGAACGGGAUUAGAUACCCUCGUAGUC
rnacentral:rRNA from 1 species